AUUGAACGCUGGCGGCAUGCCUUACACAUGCAAGUCGAACGGUAACGCGGGGCAACCUGGCGACGAGUGGCGAACGGGUGAGUAAUGUAUCGGAACGUGCCCAGUUGUGGGGGAUAACUGCUCGAAAGAGCAGCUAAUACCGCGUACGACCUGAGGGUGAAAGCGGGGGAUCGACAGACCUCGCGCAAUUGGAGCGGCCGAUCGAAGGUUAGGUAGUUGGUGGGGUAAAGGCUCACCAAGCCAACGAUCUGUAGCUGGUCUGAGAGGACGACCAGCACACCUGGGACGGAAACAAGGCCCAGACUCCAACGGGAGGAGGAGGGGGGGAAUUUUGGACAAUGGACGCAAGUCUGAUCCAGCCAUGCCGCGUGGGGGAAGAAGGCCUUCGGGUUGUAAACCGCUUUUGUCAGGGAAGAAACGCUCUGGGUGAAUACCUCGGGGUAAUGACGGUACCUGAAGAAUAAGCACCGGCUAACUACGUGCCAGCAGCCGCAGUAAUAC
rnacentral:rRNA from 1 species